GCAACCUGGGCAUGAAGAGAAACACCCAGGCUGUAUGGGCUUCUACCUGGAAGAGGAGAAAUGAGAUACACUGGUCCACCUGGACAUCUGCCCCGCGGCUCACUGCUGGGAGAAGUUCACUGCGAGAGGCCACGCUCACAGGUGGGCAUCUAGCACCCAGGAAAGAAAACAAAGCCUGGCCAUCUGUUCAUCAGCCCGCGAUCCAGUCCCUCGGUGGGAAGUGCCCUGGGAAGUAGAGAACAUUGAUCGGCACCUCCACUUUUUCCAGGAACGCCGUGGACGGGGGGCCACUCUGGGCAUCUGGGGUGCCCCGACCUCCAUCCCCACUGCUCUGUAGUUACGGAGACUGCAGUCGGCAGACUGGCGCUUUAUUUUAUUAGCCCAUGACGCUCUCUGAAACAAGUCCUUUUAAGAAAAUGGUGCCAUUAUGCACAAACAAGCAGUAAGCGGGCUUUUCUUCCCCUUCCCAUUUUUGGAAUGGAAACAGUUUUAUCUGUACCACUAGUACCUUCAUUACAGGAAACCUGCUCGAAGCAGCCUUUGGAGGAGCCCCGAUGUUAUUGCGGCUAUUAGAGCACAGUGAACGGCUGCAGACGGCAGGGGUUUAUGGAGGGACCGAGAAGGCAAACAGGAGCAGCAAAUGAAAACAUAAAACAUUUGCAUUUUCCCAUCUAUGUGCACCAUAAAAAUGCAGGGGGACAGGUUUUGCUCACCUACAGUCAGAGGUUACUAAUUAAACAAAGCAUUACUGAGCCAGAAAUGCCUAUAAAAGCUGCUUUCUAGAACUUUAACCUACAUCUGAGCGUCGGCUUACUAUAGGGCCUGGCAAUGCACUCCUCCAAGGAUUAGGGUCUUUUCUUCCAUAAUUCACUGGAGAGAACGCCAAGUGUGAUACAACCCUCCUUGUGUGCUUUCAAAGCAGUCAGAAUUUAAAGGAAACUUUUCUGCAAAGAUGAUGUGAUUGAGAAGUGGAUCAAAGGGAAGAAAAUACCAGUAUCCUGUCACGAAGUGUUUGGGGAGCCAAAUCCUCACACCUACAAGGCCGCUCGGCCAUGAUGUUCACAGCACCUGGAGAUUGGGCACAGACAUCGUCUUCUUCCUGGGCCUCCACCAACCCCCAAACCAGGGCAGUACCUUCUUCCCGCAUUUUGCACAACCCCAGGCUCACUCUGAAAUCACCCUCUGCUUUCAGUGUGACGAAUCAUCAAGUGGCCGCCUCCUUACCAGCCCUGCUGCUCUGGCCUCAUUCCUCUCUGAACUCUGGCUCAUGGCCAGGUGCAGGGCAAGAGAAUGCUGGAGUCUUAUGGCAUAGAAAGCCUGGGUUCAGCUUGCAUCCAUACAAAGGGAAUUAGGUGAGGAAUAUUCCAGAGGCUUUGCCUACCCCAGUGACAGUCUCCAAGGCCCUGUUGCUCUGAGUUUAGGAAAGUUGGAGCCUGACUUGACCAUGGAACCCACUGAGAUGUUCUCAGAGGAGUAGCUGAAAUUCAAAUAUAUUACUGAUGGGAAUGCAACAUGUUUCCACCUGUGGCAGAGGGAUCUGUUAAAGUCUAGAGAAUUUACAUAUUCAUUGUUGGAUCUAGUGAUCCCACUCCUAGGAAUCCAUCCAAAAGAUUCAAGAUUCAAGGCCGAAGACAACUUUUCAGGCAGAAUAAUACCCCGACCUGGGAACUCCACACCCUAAUUCCUAGGACCUGGGCUCCUGCCAGCUGACCUUGAGGGAUGUGUCCAGGAUCUCCGUGAAACUCAGAUGUCCCACAGCUCCUGGUUCUAGCAAUCAAAAAUAAAGUCACCUGUUAAC